rnacentral:rRNA from 1 species
GAUAUCACGAAGAACUCCGAUUGCGANGGCAGCUUGCUGGACUGUAACUGACGCUGAGGCACGAAAGCGUGGGGAUCAAACAGGAUNAGAUACCNUGGUANNNCACGCCGUAAACGAUGAAUGCUAGCUGUUAGCGAUAUACUGUUAGCGGCACAGAGAAAUCGUUAAGCAUUCCACCUGGGGAGUACGCCGGCAACGGUGAAACUCAAAGGAAUUGACGGGGGCCCGCACAAGCGGAGGAACAUGUGGUUUAAUUCGAUGAUACGCGAGGAACCUUACCUGGGCUUAAAUUGCAGUGGAAUAACGUGGAAACAUGUUAGCCUUCGGGCCGCUGUGAAGGUGCUGCAUGGUUGUCGUCAGCUCGUGCCGUGAGGUGUCGGCUUAAGUGCCAUAACGAGCGCAACCCUCAUCGAUAGUUACUAACAGGUUAAGCUGAGGACUCUAUCGAGACUGCCGACGUAAGUCGUGAGGAAGGUGGGGAUGACGUCAAAUCAGCACGGCCCUUACGUCCAGGGCUACACACGUGUUACAAUGGGGGGUACAAAGGGCAGCUACCUGGCGACAGGAUGCUAAUCUCAAAAACCUCUCUCAGUUCGGAUUGGAGUCUGCAACCCGACUCCAUGAAGCUGGAUUCGCUAGUAAUCGCGCAUCAGCCACGGCGCGGUGAAUACGUUCCCGGGCCUUGUACACACCGCCCGUCAAGCCAUGGGAGCCGGGGGGACCUGAAGUAUGCAACCGUAAGGAGCGUCCUAGGGUAAAACUGGUGACUGGGGCU